GAUGAACGCUGGCGGCGUGCCUAAUACAUGCAAGUCGAGCGAACAGACGAGGAGCUUGCUCCUCUGACGUUAGCGGCGGACGGGUGAGUAACACGUGGAUAACCUACCUAUAAGACUGGGAUAACUUCGGGAAACCGGAGCUAAUACCGGAUAAUAUAUUGAACCGCAUGGUUCAAUAGUGAAAGACGGUUUUGCUGUCACUUAUAGAUGGAUCCGCGCCGCAUUAGCUAGUUGGUAAGGUAACGGCUUACCAAGGCAACGAUGCGUAGCCGACCUGAGAGGGUGAACGGCCACCCUGGAACUGAGACACGGUCCAGACUCCGACGGGAGGCAGCAGUAGGGAAUCUUCCGCAAUGGGCGAAAGCCCGACGGAGCAACGCCGCGUGAGUGAUGAAGGUCUUCGGAUCGUAAAACUCUGUUAUUAGUGAAGAACAAAUGUGUAAGUAACUAUGCACGUCUUGACGGUACCUAAUCAGAAAGCCACGGCUAACUACGUG
rnacentral:rRNA from 1 species